AACUGAGUUUGAUGAAGCAUUGUCAGUACCUGAUUGACGUGAAGGUUGAAUAUAAAGAUCAUAUAUUAAGCAACAUAACCUGGCCAUAUAUCAUGGAAGUAAACUCAACACAGGAUGGUGAUAUCUUCAGUAUUGUCAGCUAAUUACCAUAAACAAAUGAUGCAGUAUGAGUACAAAUGACAUUAGGUUAACAAGUUACAGCUUACUAGAUUUGUUUAACUCUGCAUGGAACGAUACGUAUGCGAGAGAUAUGUACACUUUUUGAGUAAGUGAUAUAGAUUAAACUAGAGUGGUGGACUACAGUUCAAAUGUCAAUUAUAAAACGGAAAUAUCAAUUCAAAUCGAAAGGUCCACAUGAGUCGUAACAAAAUUGCAAAAAGUAGUGUCAAAUCCAACUAGUUAUAUAAUGUCAACGAUAGAUGACAGUUAAACACGUUGAUAUUGACUGAACGUACAUGUAUUUGCAAAAUAAAAAAAGUUAAUGAAUGUACUAUUGUAUAUCAGUAGUGAACUUAUAAUUUUGAAAUCAAUAAUGUAUUGAUAAUAUACCAUACUUUUUCAGUAGAUAGAUAUUUUGAUGUAAUGAAUAUAUCAUCAACCAUGACAUUUUCAGACUUAUUAGUGAGAUUGCAACAUAUUAAACUACUACUGUAACCUUAAUUCAUUAUUAAAUGCUAUGGAUUCCCUGUCAAUUGAAAUAAUAAUUUGAAGUAUUUCUAAAAAGUGAAGAU